rnacentral:rRNA from 1 species
GUGUCAGCAGCCGCGGUAAGACGUAGGGGGCGAGCGUUGUCCGGAUUUAUUGGGCGUAAAGCGCGCGUAGGCGGCCGCUCAAGUCGGGUGUGAAAACCCGGGGCUCAACCCCGGGCCUGCAUUCGAUACUGGGUGGCUAGAGGCAGGCAGGGGAGAGUGGAAUUCCUGGUGUAGCGGUGAAAUGCGCAGAUAUCAGGAGGAACACCGGUGGCGAAGGCGGCUCUCUGGGCCUGUCCUGACGCUCAGGCGCGAAAGCUAGGGGAGCAAACAGGAUUAGAAACCCUGGUAGUCC